GCAAGUCGAACGAGGAACUGAAGAGCUUGCUUUGAAGUUCCUAGUGGCGGACGGGUUAGUAACACGUGAGUAACUUGCCUCAGAGUGGGGGAUAGUCCUGGGAAACUGGGUUUAAUACCGCAUACGACCUUCGGGUUAAAGCUAGCUUCGGCUGGUGCUUUGAGAUAGGCUCGCGUCCUAUCAGCUAGUUGGUGAGGUAAAAGCUCACCAAGGCGACGACGGGUAGUUGGUCUGAGAGGACGACC
rnacentral:rRNA from 1 species